rnacentral:sRNA from 1 species
CUUUCUGGCUGGACUAGGGCACUGCAGAAGAUUGUGCCUGAGCUUAGGGUUGAGCAUACGAAGAUGUGGUGAUGCCGCUUUGCUGGUUAUGAAGGAUUUUAGAAGUUCUGAAAAAUGUUUUCUCUUUUUGAGAGUUCUCCAGCAGGUGGUGACCACUGCACUUGAAACAAUCGAUAUUAGAAAAGAUCAGCUGACCCUUCUUUGCUCUGUGUGUUUAUAAUUUAAUAUAGUUACAAGAAGACAUCUGAAACCUUGUCCCAGGCUGGACAGAAGGCCUCAGCUGCUUUUUCGUCUGUUGGCUCAGUCAUCACCAAAAAGCUGGAAGACGUAAAAAACUCCCCAACUUUUAAAUCAUUUGAAGAAAAGGUCGAAAACUUAAAGUCUAAAGUAGGGGGAACCAAGCCUGCUGGUGGUGAUUUUGGAGAAGUUUUGAAUUCGGCUGCAAAUGCUAGUGCCACCACCACGGAGCCUCUUCCAGAACAGACACAGGAGAGCCUGUGAGAUUCCUACCUUUGUUCUGCUACCCACUGCCAGAUGCUGCAAGCAAGGUCCAAGCACAUCUUGUCAACAUGCAUUGCCAUGAAUUUCUACCAGAUGUGCUUUUAUUUAGCUUUACAUAUUCCUUUGACCAAAUAGUUUGUGGGUUAAACAAAAUGAAAAUAUCUUCACCUCUAUUCUUGGGAAACACCUUUUAGUGUACAUUUAUGUUCCUUUAUUUAGGAAACACCAUUAUAAAAACACUUAUAGUAAAUGGGGACAUUCACUAGAAUGAUCUAAGAAGCUACAGAUUGUCAUAGUUGUUUUCCUGCUUUACAAAAUUGCUUCAGAUCUGGAAUGCCAGUUUGACCUUUGUCUUCUAUAAUAUUUCCUUUUGUU